UGGGGAAUAUUGCACAAUGGGGGAAACCCUGAUGCAGCCACGCCGCGUGAGCGAAGAAGGUUUUCGAAUCGUAAAGCUCUGUCCUAUGAGAAGAUAAUGACGGUAUCAUAGGAGGAAGCCCCGGCUAAAUACGUGCCAGCAGCCGCGGUAAUACGUAUGGGGCGAGCGUUGUCCGGAAUUAUUGGGUUUAAAGGGAGCGUAGGCUGUCUAUUAAGCGUGUUGUGAAAUUUACCGGCUCAACCGGUGGCUUGCAGCGCGAACUGGUCGACUUGAGUAUGCAGGAAGUAGGCGGAAUUCAUGGUGUAGCGGUGAAAUGCUUAGAUAUCAUGACGAACUCCGAUUGCGCAGGCGGCUUACUGUAGCAUAACUGACGCUGAUGCUCGAAAGUGCGGGUAUCAAACAGG
rnacentral:rRNA from 1 species